GGGGAUUUAGCUCAGUGGUAGAGUGCUUGCCUAGCAAGCACAAGGCCCUGGGUUCGGUCCCCAGCUCCA
rfam:Rattus norvegicus chromosome X, whole genome shotgun sequence.